CGAUCAAGCUUGCCAAGACAGUUGCAAAACAACCAGAGAAUUUCACGAAGAAGGGAGUUCACAAGGCAUGGCAACUAAUAAAGCUUCCCAAGACGGUUGCAAAACAACCAGAGAUUGCAAUGAGGAGAGCAACCCAAUGGCGCCGCAUCAAAGUGAAAUACAAGGAAAUUUGAAUCCACCAGAGUUUCGCAUAGACUUGAGUUCAUUAGACAU